GACGAACGCUGGCGGCGUGCCUAAUACAUGCAAGUAGAACGCUGAAGGAGGGGCUUGCUCUUCUGGAUGAGUUGCGAACGGGUGAGUAACGCGUAGGUAACCUGCCUGGUAGCGGGGGAUAACUAUUGGAAACGAUAGCUAAUACCGCAUAACAGUAGAUAUUGCAUGAUAUCUGCUUGAAAGGUGCAAAUGCAUCACUACCAGAUGGACCUGCGUUGUAUUAGCUAGUUGGUGAGGUAACGGCUCACCAAGGCGACGAUACAUAGCCGACCUGAGAGGGUGAUCGGCCACACUGGGACUGAGACACGGCCCAGACUCCUACGGGAGGCAGCAGUAGGGAAUCUUCGGCAAUGGACGGAAGUCUGACCGAGCAACGCCGCGUGAGUGAAGAAGGUUUUCGGAUCGUAAAGCUCUGUUGUAAGAGAAGAACGAGUGUGAGAGUGGAAAGUUCACACUGUGACGGUAUCUUACCAGAAAGGGACGGCUAACUACGUGCCAGCAGCCGCGGUAAUACGUAGGUCCCGAGCGUUGUCCGGAUUUAUUGGGCGUAAAGCGAGCGCAGGCGGUUAGAUAAGUCUGAAGUUAAAGGCUGUGGCUUAACCAUAGUACGCUUUGGAAACUGUUUAACUUGAGUGCAAGAGGGGAGAGUGGAAUUCCAUGUGUAGCGGUGAAAUGCGUAGAUAUAUGGAGGAACACCGGUGGCGAAAGCGGCUCUCUGGCUUGUAACUGACGCUGAGGCUCGAAAGCGUGGGGAGCAAACAGGG
rnacentral:rRNA from 1 species